AUUUAUAUAGUUUAUUAAAAACUUCACAUUUUCAUUGUGAAAAUAAAAUUUCAUAUUUUUAUAAAUA
rnacentral:tRNA from 1 species